UACGGGGGGUGCAAGCGUUAAUCGGAAUGACUGGGCGUAAAGGGCAUGUAGGCGGAUAGUUAAGUUAGGUGUGAAAUCCCCGGGCUCAACCUGGGAAUGGCACUUAAAACUGAUUAUCUGGAGUCCUGUAGAGGGAGGUAGAAUUCCACGUGUAGCGGUGAAAUGCGUAGAGAUGUGGAGGAAUACCGGUGGCGAAGGCGGCCUUCUGGACAGAGACUGACGCUGAGAUGCGAAAGCGUGGGGAGCAAACAGG
rnacentral:rRNA from 1 species